rnacentral:rRNA from 1 species
AGUAGUUUGACUCCUGGCUCGAGGACGAACGCUGGCGGCGUGCCUAACACAUGCAAGUCGAACGGGGAUUUUGUUUCGGCAGAAUCCUAGUGGCGAACGGGUGAGUAACGCGUAUCCAACCUUCCCCUUACUAGAGGAUAGCCCGGCGAAAGUCGGAUUAAUACUCUAUGUUCUCCUUUGAUGGCAUCAGAUGAGGAGCAAAGAUUCAUCGGUAAGGGAUGGGGAUGCGUCUGAUUAGCUUGCCGGCGGGGUAACGGCCCACCGGGGCAACGAUCAGUAGGGGUUCUGAGAGGAAGGUCCCCCACAUUGGUACUGAGACACGGACCAAACUCC